GAACCGUUAUAACCGGCGAUACCCGAAUGGGGAAACCCAGUGUGAUUCGUCACACUAUCAUUAACUGAAUCCAUAGGUUAAUGAGGCGAACCGGGGGAACUGAAACAUCUAAGUACCCCGAGGAAAAGAAAUCAACCGAGAUUCCCCCAGUAGCGGCGAGCGAACGGGGAGGAGCCCAGAGCCUGAAUCAGCAUGUGUGUUAGUGGAAGCGUCUGGAAAGGCGCGCGAUACAGGGUGACAGCCCCGUACACAAAAGCGCAUGUGCUGUGAGCUCGAUGAGUAGGGCGGGACACGUGGUAUCCUGUCUGAAUAUGGGGGGACCAUCCUCCAAGGCUAAAUACUCCUGACUGACCGAUAGUGAACCAGUACCGUGAGGGAAAGGCGAAAAGAACCCCGGCGAGGGGAGUGAAAAAGAACCUGAAACCGUGUACGUACAAGCAGUGGGAGCACCCUUUGGGUGUGACUGCGUACCUUUUGUAUAAUGGGUCAGCGACUUAUAUUCUGUAGCAAGGUUAACCGAAUAGGGGAGCCGGAGGGAAACCGAGUCUUAACCGGGCGUUAAGUUGCAGGGUAUAGACCCGAAACCCGGUGAUCUAGCCAUGGGCAGGUUGAAGGUUGGGUAACACUAACUGGAGGACCGAACCGACUAAUGUUGAAAAAUUAGCGGAUGACCUGUGGCUGGGGGUGAAAGGCCAAUCAAACCGGGAGAUAGCUGGUUCUCCCCGAAAGCUAUUUAGGUAGCGCCUCGUGAAUUCAUCUCCGGGGGUAGAGCACUGUUUCGGCUAGGGGGCCAUCCCGGCUUACCAACCCGAUGCAAACUGCGAAUACCGGAGAAUGUUAUCACGGGAGACACACGGCGGGUGCUAACGUCCGUCGUGAAGAGGGAAACAACCCAGACCGCCAGCUAAGGUCCCAAAGUCAUGGUUAAGUGGGAAACGAUGUGGGAAGGCCCAGACAGCCAGGAUGUUGGCUUAGAAGCAGCCAUCAUUUAAAGAAAGCGUAAUAGCUCACUGGUCGAGUCGGCCUGCGCGGAAGAUGUAACGGGGCUAAACCAUGCACCGAAGCUGCGGCAGCGACACUGUGUGUUGUUGGGUAGGGGAGCGUUCUGUAAGCCUGUGAAGGUGUGUCGUGAGGCAUGCUGGAGGUAUCAGAAGUGCGAAUGCUGACAUAAGUAACGAUAAAGCGGGUGAAAAGCCCGCUCGCCGGAAGACCAAGGGUUCCUGUCCAACGUUAAUCGGGGCAGGGUGAGUCGACCCCUAAGGCGAGGCCGAAAGGCGUAGUCGAUGGGAAACGGGUUAAUAUUCCCGUACUUGGUGUUACUGCGAAGGGGGGACGGAGAAGGCUAUGUUGGCCGGGCGACGGUUGUCCCGGUUUAAGCGUGUAGGUGUGUGUUCCAGGUAAAUCCGGUUCACUUUAACACUGAGGCGUGACGACGAGGCACUACGGUGCUGAAGCAACAAAUGCCCUGCUUCCAGGAAAAGCCUCUAAGCAUCAGGUAACAUCAAAUCGUACCCCAAACCGACACAGGUGGUCAGGUAGAGAAUACCAAGGCGCUUGAGAGAACUCGGGUGAAGGAACUAGGCAAAAUGGUGCCGUAACUUCGGGAGAAGGCACGCUGACACGUAGGUGAAGUGAUUUACUCAUGGAGCUGAAGUCAGUCGAAGAUACCAGCUGGCUGCAACUGUUUAUUAAAAACACAGCACUGUGCAAACACGAAAGUGGACGUAUACGGUGUGACGCCUGCCCGGUGCCGGAAGGUUAAUUGAUGGGGUCAGCGCAAGCGAAGCUCCUGAUCGAAGCCCCGGUAAACGGCGGCCGUAACUAUAACGGUCCUAAGGUAGCGAAAUUCCUUGUCGGGUAAGUUCCGACCUGCACGAAUGGCGUAAUGAUGGCCAGGCUGUCUCCACCCGAGACUCAGUGAAAUUGAACUCGCUGUGAAGAUGCAGUGUACCCGCGGCAAGACGGAAAGACCCCGUGAACCUUUACUAUAGCUUGACACUGAACAUUGAGCCUUGAUGUGUAGGAUAGGUGGGAGGCUUUGAAGUGUGGACGCCAGUCUGCAUGGAGCCGACCUUGAAAUACCACCCUUUAAUGUUUGAUGUUCUAACGUGGACCCGUUACCCGGGUUGCGGACAGUGUCUGGUGGGUAGUUUGACUGGGGCGGUCUCCUCCUAAAGAGUAACGGAGGAGCACGAAGGUUGGCUAAUCCUGGUCGGACAUCAGGAGGUUAGUGCAAUGGCAUAAGCCAGCUUGACUGCGAGCGUGACGGCGCGAGCAGGUGCGAAAGCAGGUCAUAGUGAUCCGGUGGUUCUGAAUGGAAGGGCCAUCGCUCAACGGAUAAAAGGUACUCCGGGGAUAACAGGCUGAUACCGCCCAAGAGUUCAUAUCGACGGCGGUGUUUGGCACCUCGAUGUCGGCUCAUCACAUCCUGGGGCUGAAGUAGGUCCCAAGGGUAUGGCUGUUCGCCAUUUAAAGUGGUACGCGAGCUGGGUUUAGAACGUCGUGAGACAGUUCGGUCCCUAUCUGCCGUGGGCGCUGGAGAACUGAGGGGGGCUGCUCCUAGUACGAGAGGACCGGAGUGGACGCAUCACUGGUGUUCGGGUUGUCAUGCCAAUGGCACUGCCCGGUAGCUAAAUGCGGAAGAGAUAAGUGCUGAAAGCAUCUAAGCACGAAACUUGCCCCGA
rnacentral:rRNA from 1 species